UGGGGAAUAUUGGACAAUGGGGGGAACCCUGAUCCAGCGAUGCCGCGUGGGUGAAGAAGGCCUUCGGGUUGUAAAGCCCUUUAGGUUGGGAAGAAGUAUGCUUAUUGAUAAGGUAAGUAUAUUGACGGUACUGACAGAAUAAGCACCGGCAAACUCUGUGCCAGCAGCCGCGGUAAUACAGAGGGUGCGAGCGUUAAUCGGAGUUACUGGGCGUAAAGGGCGCGUAGGCGGUGAGAUGUGAGUGAUGUGAAAGCCCUGGGCUUAACCUAGGAAGAGCAUCGCUGACUAUCUGACUGGAGUAUAAGAGAGGGUGGCGGAAUUUCCGGUGUAGCGGUGAAAUGCGUAGAGAUCGGAAGGAACGUCGAUGGCGAAGGCAGCCACCUGGCGAAAUACUGACGCUGAGGCGCGAAAGCGUGGGUAGCGAACAGG
rnacentral:rRNA from 1 species